AAAAAAAUCGGAAAAGGUACAGACUCGUUCUCUCCCCAUCUCACGCUCUCGGCAAGCUCGCUCUCUCCUCUCACGAACUCGCUCCCAAACUCGAAGAAAUCUCUCUCAAUCGCUCUCGUCGCUUACCCUCAGCAUCUCUCUCAAUCGCUCUCGUCGCUUACCCUCAGCAUCUCUCUCAAUCGCUCAACCUCGUUAACCAGAGAGAGUGCAAACCCAUGGUUUUAAAGAGAGAAGUCAAGCGGGAAUCUCACCUUUGGCGUCGACAAUGAAUCAGGGUUUCAAUCGGUGUCUUGGAUUCAAAAGAGGCGUUCCUGCCAAACACUUUCUUUGUGCUUAGUAACGGAUUGGUCCCUUUGAUGUAUGGAUUUGUAACAGUGAAAAAAUGGAGCAUUGGUUUGAUUACAGCUCUGGUUUUGAUGAUCGGGUUCUACUUAUUUAACAUUCGCAUUUUGCACAGUUUGCUGAAAGAGACAAACAAACCCUUUCACUUUGCUCAGAUAAGU